rnacentral:tRNA from 1 species
GGAGAGAUGGCAGAGCGGUCGAAUGCGGCAGUCUUGAAAACUGCUAGGGGCGCAAGCUCCUCCUGGGUUCGAAUCCCAGUCUCUCCGCCA